UACGGAGGGUGCGAGCGUUUGUCCGGAAUCACUGGGCGUAAAGGGCGCGUAGGUGGCGCGGAAAGUCAACGGUGAAAGUUCGGGGCUCAACCCUGAAUCGGCCGUCGAUACUGCUGCGCUUGAGCACUGUAGAGGCAGAUGGAAUUCCGGGUGUAGCGGUGGAAUGCGCAGAUAUCAGGAAGAACACCCGUGGCGAAAGCGGCUCUCUGGAACGGUACUGACGCUGAGACGCGAAAGCGUGGGGAGCGAACAGG
rnacentral:rRNA from 1 species